rnacentral:rRNA from 1 species
AGGACAAACGCUGGCGGCGUACCUAAGACAUGCAAGUCGAACGGGCGCAACACCCUUCGGGGUGAAGUGUUAGUGGCGGACGGGUGAGUAACGCGUAGGAACCUAUCGCACAGUGGGGGAUACCACUGGGAAACCGGUGCUAAUACCGCAUGUGGUCAGCGAUGAAGAAAGCGGCCCACGCGAGUGGGUGGCGCUGUGUGAGGGGCCUGCGUCCGAUUAGCUGGUUGGUGGGGUAAAGGCCUACCAAGGCGACGAUCGGUAGCUGGUCUGAGAGGAUGGUCAGCCACACUGGGACUGAGAUACGGCCCAGACUCCUACGGGGGGCAGCAGUGAGGAAUUUUCGGCAAUGGGGGCAACCCUGACCGAGCAACGCCGCGUGCAGGACGACGGCCUUCGGGUUGUAAACUGCUUUUCUCUGGGACGAGCAAGGACGGUACCAGAGGAAGAAGCCCGGCUAACUACGCGCCAGCAGCCGC